AACUUUUGACAAUGGAUCUCUAGGCUCUCGCAACGAUGAAGAACGCAGCGAAAUGCGAUAAGUAAUGUGAAUUGCAGAAUUCCAUGAAUCAUUAAAUCUUUGAACGCACAUUGCGCCCUCUGGUAUUCCUAAGGGCAUGUCUGUUUGAGAAUCAGUUUAAUUAUCACCUCAUGUUUUAGGCAACUUUAGCAUGCGGUGGAUUUGGGACUAGGCUUGCAAGAGCCAGACCUUUAAAGCAUCUGUUGCUUUGGUUUAGACAUGAACCCAUGGAAGGCAUGACCAUUGAACGCAAGUUCAGUUAUUGCUGACAAAGUGGGCUAUUUGGAUAAAUUAGGGUACAAAAUUAAGACAAAGUCUAGCGACUUUAAGACUUGAUCUCAAAUCAGAUAAGACUACCCGCUGAACUUAAGCAUAUCAAUAAGCGGAGGCU
rnacentral:misc_RNA from 1 species